rnacentral:rRNA from 1 species
AUUGAACGCUGGCGGCAGGCCUAACUCAUGCAAGUCGAGCGCGAAAGUUCUUCGGAAUGAGUAAAGCGGCGGACGGGUGAGUAAUACAUGGGAAUCUGCCUGGUAGUGGGGGACAACGUUUCGAAAGGAACGCUAAUACCGCAUACGCCCUACGGGGGAAAGGGGGGGAGUCUUCGGACCUCUCGCUAUCAGAUGAGCCC